GAUGAACGCUAGCGGCAGGCUUAACACAUGCGAGUCGAGGGGCAGCGCGGGUAGCAAUACCUGGCGGCGACCGGCAAACGGGUGCGGAACACGUACAGAACCUACCUUGAUCUGGGGCAUAGCCCGAAGAAAUUCGGAUUAACUCCCCAUAAUAUUAUUGGAUGGCAUCAUUUGGUAAUUAAAAAUUUAUUGGAUCAAGAUGGCUGUGCGUCCCAUUAGCUAGUUGGUAGGGUAACGGCCUACCAAGGCGACGAUGGGUAGCUGGUGUGAGAGCACGACCAGCCACACGGGCACUGAGACACGGGCCCGACUCCUACGGGAGGCAGCAGUGAGGAAUAUUGGUCAAUGGACGCAAGUCUGAACCAGCCAUGCCGCGUGAAGGAUGAAGGCCUUCUGGGUUGUAAACUUCUUUUAUCUGGGAAGAAAACUACGGUUUCUACUGUAGCCGACGGUACCAGAGGAAUAAGCACCGGCUAACUCCGUGCCAGCCGCCGCAGUAACAC
rnacentral:rRNA from 1 species